CCUACGGGUGGCAGCAGUGAGGAAUAUUGGUCAAUGGACGAGAGUCUGAACCAGCCAAGUAGCGUGAAGGAUGACUGCCCUAUGGGUUGUAAACUUCUUUUAUAUGGGAAUAAAACGUUCCACGUGUGGGAUUUUGUAUGUACCAUAUGAAUAAGGAUCGGCUAACUCCGUGCCAGCAGCCGCGGUAAUACGGAGGAUCCGAGCGUUAUCCGGAUUUAUUGGGUUUAAAGGGAGCGUAGGUGGAUUGUUAAGUCAGUUGUGAAAGUUUGCGGCUCAACCGUAAAAUUGCAGUUGAAACUGGCAGUCUUGAGUACAGUAGAGGUGGGCGGAAUUCGUGGUGUAGCGGUGAAAUGCUUAGAUAUCAUGAAGAACUCCGAUUGCGAAGGCAGUUCACUGGACUGCAACUGACACUGAGGCUCGAAAGUGUGGGUAUCAAACAGGAUUAGAUACUCCAGUAGUC
rnacentral:rRNA from 1 species